GAUCUGAUGGCACAGUUGGUUAGUGCGUCUGCUCAGAGUAUACAAAGUCUGAGGGGGUCUGCAGAAGGCCCCGGUUUGAAUCCGGGUCAGGUCA